rnacentral:lncRNA from 10 species
UGAAAGCUCGCCUCCCAACUUCUCCUUUCACAGGGGAAGCAGCAGGGCAGAGGGCAUGAGGACCAGCCCCAAACCAGGAAGGAGCCACCCUGGCCAGCCUCGGAGGUGGGCAGUGCUAGGAGGGGACUGUCAGGGGACACAGGUGAGUCAUGGCUGCAGGUGAAGUGAUGGAUGCAGAGUCCCAUUCAUUCAUUCAUUCAUUCUCCAGGCAAAAUCUACUCCAUGCAGUGGGGGGAGGCAAAGAAGAC